AUUGAACGCUGGCGGCAGGCCUAACACAUGCAAGUCGAACGAGUGGCGGACGGGUGAGUAAUGUCUGGGAAACUGCCUGACGGAGGGGGAUAACUACUGGAAACGGUAGCUAAUACCGCACACCAGCGGAUGUGCCCAGAUGGGAUUGCUUGUAGGUGGGGUAACGGCUCACCUAGGCGACGAUGCCUAGCCGGUCUGAGAGGAUGACCAGCCACACUGGAACUGAGACACGGUCCAGACUCCUACGGGAGGCAGCAGUGGGGACUAUUGCACAAUGGGCGCAAGCCUGAUGCAGCCAUGCCGCGUGUAUGAAGAAGGCCUUCGGGUUGUAAAGUACUUUCAGCGGGGAGGCGUUACCCGCAGAAGAAGCACCGGCUAACUCCGUGCCAGCCGCCGCGGUAAUAC
rnacentral:rRNA from 1 species